GGUUCAAUGGUCUAGUGGUUAUGAUUUCUGUCUCACAAAUUGGGAUUUCCAACCAUAUCACGGUCACAGAAGGUCUCCAGUUCGAUCCUGGAUUGAACCA